rnacentral:rRNA from 1 species
UACGUAGGGUGCAGGCGUUAAUCGGAAUUACUGGGCGUAAAGCGUGCGCAGGCGGUUUUGUAAGCCCGAUGUGAAAGCCCCGGGCUUAACCUGGGAAUGGCAUUUGGGACUGCAAGGCUUGAGUGCGGCAGAGGAGACUGGAAUUCCUGGUGUAGCAGUGAAAUGCGUAGAUAUCAGGAGGAAUACCGAUGGCGAAGGCAGGUCUCUGGGCUGACACUGACGCUCAUGCACGAAAGCGUGGGGAGCAAACAGG